GGUCCUUAUCACCCCAGCUCCUUUUUUUUUUCUCUCUGUCUCCUGCCUUUUCCAGAAGUCUGUUGAACUCAGAGGGCUGAAUGAGAGCAGUCUUCCCUCCGUGACUGGGAAAUUACACAGGAGGAACUGUAUCCUGACGCAGACGCGAUGCGGUGUUCCAUCAGGAAAUGCUUCAUACUCUCAGUGGGCAUCGUAUUCCUGUGGCUCUUCAUCACUUUGAAAAUCCCCAAGGAAACUGAAGAUGAUCAAAAUGUGAUGACUAUCCAAGGCCUAGUAGCAAGCCUUGAGCCUUGCUCAGUUUGGGAACUGGGAAUAUAGGGUGGAAAUGGUGUGGACAGGCAGAUUCUUGAAAACCCCUGGGCUUGCUUCCUUCCUGAGCUUUUCACCUGAGAGCAGGAAGCUCCAAAGGGGAUGGGGGUAGGGACCUGGGCCUAUUAGUCCAUGAAGAAGCUGUAUUUAUUUUCCUUAUUCGUUAAGGUAAAGGAGAGCAAAUACUGCUUGAGCCCUGGAUAUUUCAGCCAAUGGCCAGGCAUCCUGAGAAUGUGCCAGGCUCACUCUAGGGAGAAUGGUUGACUCCACCUCUUUCCCUAGAAAAGCUUAUGGGAAGCCACUGGGGUGUAAAAUUUGUUCUUUUUAUGAAAGGAUAUAUAUGUUUGCCCUCGUCAAUGCCCCAGGAGGCCAGUUAUAACAGCAGGAAGGACCCAAGACCACUAGAAGACUGGCAGAACCUCACCUUCAAAUAUAUGGAAAAAAUCCAGAAGAGAAGAAAGACAUGGCUGACAGUGGGGAUCUCAUCAGUGCAGCGAGGGGAUGGAAGCAGCCUCUUGUACACAUUGGUCUCCCUGUUCCGUGUUUCCUCUAAGGCUGAGCAGAAACGUCUCACGGUGCUGGUCCACCUGGCAGAUUCUGACCUCACCUGGCUCAGAGAAACUCUUGCCCAUAUUUCAAGCCUCUUCAGCCCACAGAUCUUGAAAGGGCAGUUGCUACUGAUCCAUGCUCCAUCCGAUGCCUACCCCACUGUGGACAGUAUCAGGGAUGAGGCCUUUCGUGGCGAAUUCUACUCCAAGCAGAACGUAGAUCAUGCCUUCCUCAUGAGCUUUGCCACAAAGCUCUCUGAUUACUUCCUGUUAAUAGAGGACAAUGCCUUUUUUGCCCCUAACUUUGUCACCCACAUUCAUUCAAGGGUGACCACCAUGAAGUCCAACUCGUGGGUGCUACUGGAGUUCUCCAAUAUGGGCUUCCUUGGCAAACUCUUCCACAGCAGGGACCUCCCGCUCCUGGCCCAUUUCCUCCUCCUCUUUUACAAGGAGAAAUCCCUUGACAGCCUGAUUUCUCAUUUCCGUACACUCCUGGUCCAGGAAAGCCCAAUCCUCUGCAAACCUUUCCUCUUCUACCGCAGGGUCUCCUACACCGCCUUUGAUCACAAGCAGAAGGCCACAGCACUUCAGAAAAAGAAUGCUGAUGGUCCCAACAACCCGCCUGGAGCUGUCUUCACUGAUAUGCAGGUUUCCGAUGUGCAUUUCCCCUGGGAGGCCUACACUCUGGAUGAGUCAUUCUUUUGGACACACAACAUUAGUAUAGGAAGCCACCUGACAGUGAUUCUGAACCAUCCAGCAAACCUGAGCAGGGUUCAAGUGAUGACGGGCUCCAUUGUGGAUGGGAGGUACGCCCUGGAGAAGGGGCAGGUGGAGCUGGGCUACCAACCUGAGGGGGUGCCGCAGCACUGCACCAGCUUUGCCUUGCUGGGACAUCUUUUGGAGGGGCAGAUGGAUCAGAAGAUACUUCUGAAAGGUAUGGGGUACCACGUGAGCUGUGUGAGGCUGAUGGUGAAAGCUGGUCAGGCUGGGGGGCUCAUGAUCAGGCAUAUCUACCUCUGGGAGAAAAAUGACAAAUAGCAGCAAGUGGAUCAAUGCUGAAGAUAAAUCAGUAGGGGGAUGAAAAAUUAAAAUCUUAAAGCCAUUUCAUUCUAGUCUAUAUGAGUGACAUAGGGGAGACACAAUGGAAUGAAGGGCAGACAGAGAAGACUAUCAGUCUUUUGGUGCCGCCGAGAUGUCAGGAGACUUAUUGCUUCCUUUCUAUCCAAACAACUCUCAUAGGAUAUCUUUUGCUGUGGCAUAUAUAGCUUAUCCGAAUUUGGGGAGAGUUUUGGUCACUCCCAAAAUCUUUAGAUACCUGGGAUGCUGAGAUCAGCCCAAAUCAAGGUGUCUCUGUGUGUACAUGCGUGUGCGUGUAUGCAUUUCUAUGUUCACACAGAGGCAGAGGUGGGGAUGAGGUAUGUGGUCAUAGGAGGGCAGGCAGGAAAAUCACGGCUGAAUCCCUAGAAUUGACAUCAUAAAAAGCCGUGAAAGGGACUCUCAUGAGAAGUUAAAAUCUCUGAAGUGCAGGAAAGUAGCAGAUGGACAAAUAGCAAUAAAACAAAUCCCUUAGCUCUAUUAUUGAAGCUGUUUCACAGUGCCAAUCUAGUUCCCUCCUUUCCUCACCAACAAACUUGGGCACAAAUAGGUUUUAACUAGGCUGGGUAUGGUGGCUCAUGCCAGUAAUUGCAGCCUCCCUUAGGAGGCUGAGGUGGGAGGAUCUCUUGAGGCCAGCAGUUCAAGACCAACCUAGGCAACACGGCAAGACCCUGUCUCCACAAAAAAUUAAAAAGUUAGCUAGCUUGUAGUUGCAUGUGCCUGUGGUCCUAGCUACUCAGGAGGCUGAGGCAGGAGGAUCACUUGAGCCCAGGAGGUUGAGGCUGCAGUGAGCCAUGAUUAUGCCAUUACACUCCAGCCUGGGCAACAGAGUGAGACCCUGUCUCAAAAAAAAAAA
rnacentral:sRNA from 1 species